UUUGAUCUCAAAUCAGGUAGGACUACCCGCUGAACUUAAGCAUAUCAAUAAGCGGAGGAAAAGAAACUAACAAGGAUUCCCCUAGUAACUGCGAGUGAAGCGGGAAGAGCUCAAAUUUAAAAUCCGGCGUGCCUCUGGCCGCCC
rnacentral:rRNA from 1 species